rnacentral:rRNA from 1 species
GUGGGGAAUAUUGGGCAAUGGGGGCAACCCUGACCCAGCGACGCCGCGUGAGGGAAGAAGGCCUUAGGGUCGUAAACCUCUGUUGUGUGGGAAGAAGGAAGUGACGGUACCACACGAGGAAGUCCCGGCUAACUACGUGCCAGCAGCCGCGGUAAUACGUAGGGGACGAGCGUUGUCCGGAAUUACUGGGCGUAAAGGGCGCGUAGGCGGUCAUUUAAGUCAGCUGUGAAAUGGUCCGGCUCAACCGGAUCAUGCGGUUGAAACUGGAUGACUGGAGUGCUGGAGAGGCAAGUGGAAUUCCCAGUGUAGCGGUGAAAUGCGUAGAUAUUGGGAAGAACACCGGUGGCGAAGGCGACUUGCUGGCCAACAACUGACGCUGAGGCGCGAAAGCCAGGGGAGCAAACGGGAUUAGAUACCCGUGUAGUCC